rnacentral:tRNA from 1 species
GGCCUAUAGCUCAGUUGGUUAGAGCACACGCCUGAUAAGCGUGAGGUCGGUGGUUCAAGUCCAUUUAGGCCC